rnacentral:tRNA from 1 species
CAGGGAGACAACAAAAUGUUUAAUAUUAUUAUUUUGUCACCUUAGGUCGAUCGGUAUCUCACGUUCUUAAUUUAUUAAGAAUUUCCUUUCCUAAGUUUUUCUAGGUCACACCCAUUAUUUUCCUGGGCCAUUAGCUCAGGUGGUUAGAGCGCACCCCUGAUAAGGGUGAGGUCCCUGGUUCAAGUCCAGGAUGGCCCAUAUCUCUAUGUUGGGGGUAUAGCUCAGUUGGUAGAGCGCCUGCUUUGCAAGCAGGAUGUCAGCGGUUCGAGUCCGCUUACCUCCACUGAUUACCACCUCUUCCAUAACCGGUAGACAGGAAAUGUUUUGAGUUGUGAUCACAUUCUGAACGAAUCUAGCUUCCUAAUGAAAUCAUUAAGAUGCUGGACUCAUUGAAUUAAAUUCAUUGUUUUCAGAGAACCUUGACAACUGCAUAGAUUAUUUUUAAAGACAAUAAGCAUCUUUAUUGAUGCAGAUUUUUUAUUUGUGCGAACGCACUAAUAACAAUUCUAUUAAGCUGAUGCUUCAAUUUUGAAGUUAUU